rnacentral:rRNA from 1 species
UACAGAGGUCCCAAGCGUUGUUCGGAUUCAUUGGGCGUAAAGGGUGCGUAGGCGGCGCGGUAAGUCGGGUGUGAAAUCUCGGAGCUUAACUCCGAAACUGCAUUCGAUACUGCCGUGCUUUGAGGACUGGAGAGGAGACUGGAAUUUACGGUGUAGCGGUGAAAUGCGUAGAUAUCGUAAGGAAGACCAGUGGCGAAAGGCGGGUCUCUGGACAGUUCCUGACGUGAGGCACGAAGGUCAGGGGAGCAAACGGG